rnacentral:rRNA from 1 species
AACGACCGCUGGCGGCACGUUUUAAGCAUGCAAGUCGAAUGGCAGCAGGGGCAACUCUGUGAGAAUGGCGAACGGGUGAGUAACACGUAGGUGAUCUGCCUUGAGGAUGGGGAUAGCCUGUGGAAACACAGGGUAAUACCGAAUAAGCUGACGGGACUUUGGUUUUGUUAGUAAAGGUGCUACGGCACCGCCUUGAGAGGAGCCUGCGGCUGAUUAGCUAGUUGGUGGGGUAAAGGCCUACCAAGGCGACGAUCAGUAGCCGGCCUGAGAGGGUGUACGGCCACACUGGGACUGAGCCACGGCCCAGACUCCUACGGGAGGCAGCAGCUAAGAAUCUUCCGCAAUGGGCGAAAGCCUGACGGAGCGAUGCCGCGUGAUCGAUGAAGGUCGAGAGAUUGUAAAGAUCUUUUCUACAUGAGGAAUAAGUCUGGGAGGGAAUGCCUGGAUGAUGACGUUAGUGUAGGAAUAAGCCCCGGCUAAUUACGUGCCAGCCGCCGCCGUAA